rnacentral:rRNA from 1 species
CCUACGGGUGGCAGCAGUGAGGAAUAUUGGUCAAUGGGCGCUAGCCUGAACCAGCCAAGUAGCGUGAAGGAUGACUGCCCUAUGGGUUGUAAACUUCUUUUAUAUGGGACUAAAGUGCAGUAUGUACACUGCUUUGCAUGUACCUUAUGAAUAAGGAUCGGCUAAAUCAGUGCCAGCAGCCGCGGUAAUACGGAGGAUCCGAGCGUUAUACGGAUUUAUUGGGUUUAAAGGGAGCGUAGGCGGUAUGUUAAGUAAGUUGUGAAAGUUUACGGCUCAACCGUAAAAUUGCAGUUGAUACUGGCAUCCUGGAGUACAGUAGAGGUAGGCGGAAUGCGUGGUGUAGCGGUGAAAUGCUUAGAUAUCACGAAGAACUCCGAUUGCGAAGGCAGCCUGCUGGACUGUAACUGACGCUGAUGCUCGAAAGUGUGGGUAUCAAACAGGAUUAGAUACCCUUGUAGUC